rnacentral:lncRNA from 1 species
AGCCUUCUGAGUAGCUGCAAUUACAGGUGUAUACCACCAUGCCCAGUGAUCUAUGGGUACUUUGAAAAAACAGAACACUGACUAUCAUCUGGCCUCGGACCAAGCUUGGAGCUGCCGUCUCUGCCUGGGAUUCAGAUACCAUCAGACCUCACACUUCUUCUAGGACUAUCUGAUGACUUUCAUCUGGGUGAAUAGGUUUAAAAAAAAAAAAAAAAGACUUGAGAUUUUUCUUCACUCUACAUGGUAAAUUUUUUUCUUCCUCAGUAACAAUAAUUUAAGGAAAAAUAACAAUGAGAAUCCUAAAUAUUCUUCAUAGGACAGCUGGUCCUAAGGUGGUAUGAGAAUGUUUCUAAACCAGAAAAUAGUGUUUUUAUUAUUCAAGUAAGAAUCUAGCUUUUUCUUUUCCCUAUCUCCCAUUUUCUGUCUCAGAAAAAGACACUUUAAUAGAAAAGUAGGGUAUUGAUCUAGAGGAAAACCUGGUGGAGGUUUGGGAGGAAGACCCUAGUUCUCCAGCCACCUUCUUGAUUUUCUCUUUGGGGAGAUCUUCACAGAAAAGGAUCCAAUGAGUUGUAACUAUGGUUACAGUUGGGUUUGAGGUGAUAGCUUAAGUGACGACCCUAACAAGGUGAAACCCCAUUUUCCAAAACCAAAGUUGAUAUUAGCUUCCAAAGCUAACUUAUUAAUUUAUAGAUUAAACUUAGGCUAUUUUAAAGUGGUACUAAAUUUGAAACCAAGAGACUUGGGUGCUAUCUUUGCUUUGUGGCUUAGUUGUGGACAUAAAUAAGUCAAAUGACCUCUUUGUGUUCCAGUUCCCUUAGUAAUUGGACUAACCAUAGGAAAAAUUGUAUUGGCCUAAAAUGCUGAUCUGUUUCCUUUGGCCUUUUGAACUCCAAGGAACACCGGUGAGGAUUUCUCAAAUCAGAUUUAUGAGUUAGGAGAGCCUUAUCGCCCAAAACUUUCUUUUUCACUUCUGUCUUUAGUAAAACUGACAGAACAAAUGAAGCAAUAUUUAAUGCUAAACUAUAGAGCCAAUGAAGGGUAAUUACCAACAGAAGCAAAGCAGCAAUGACCUGACACACCCAGAGAAGCUUGGGUUGGAGCCAGGGAGAUAAGCUAAGUGAGUGUCACUGUUCUUUCUGGCACAUGCUCUCAUCACCCAGCGCUUGGCAAGGUCAGUGGAGGAAUGGCACAGGCUUAUGUCCAAUACUUUCUCCAGAAAUAGGCCCUGGACGUAGGAACAGCAAGUAAACAUCCAACCAGCUGUUGCUGAGGUGGGUCCCUCCCAGACAGGCCUGUCCACCAGGAUGAUUGCUGGAAGAGGGAAGAAUCCUGGAGCCACUCCCUGGCCCUAUUUUGGAGUGAGUCCUCCCAGGCUCAGAACAGUCCAGUCCAUGAAACAGCCAAUAUUUUCUUGAAAAACUGAAAACUAUCCCAAUCAGCUUGGGCCCUGUUUCACAUUACAAGAUUCAAGAUGUAGCAAUUAUAGGUUUAUGGGGCUGUUGGAGCCUCAGAGUGUUUUGAGCCUUGGAGCAGUUUUUUGGAUACUGGGGAUUGAACCCAGGGAUGCUUUACUACAGAGCUACAUCCCAGCCCUUUUUAUUUAUUUAUUUAUUUUAUUAAGACAAGUUCUCACUAAGUUGCUUAGGGCCUCACUAAGUUGCUGGGGCUGACCUCAAACUUGUGAUCCUCCUGCCUUAGCCUCCCAAGUUGCUG